CACCUGUACAGUUGCUUUACUAUUUCUCAUCCCACCUGCUAUGAGCCAGCCAAUAAAGUUAUGACCUCCUUGGAUCUUCACAAGAAGCCUAUAGGGUAGUUAUGGAUCAUCCCCAUUUUGCAGAAGCAAAACUGAGACCGAGAGAGUCCUGACCUCUGUGGCACUGGAGUCAAGCCUUCUCUGGUUUGCUCUUUCUGUCUCUCAGCCCGGGAGACCCAUGAGCUCCAACCCACGGCAGGCCUAGGAAAGUGAGUACAGCAGCUAGCUAGCCCUAAGGACUAUCUUCCCGUGGGCACUGGCCCAUUCAGCAUAUCCCGCAGACAUGCUUUCAGAGGCUGCCAGGUCCUCAGACUGAAAGAGAAGAAUGAGGCGUCCACCAGGUUGAAAGGGAGGUCAGUGUGGAUCUGCUUCACCAACUUCACAGGAAUCCAUAGCGUCUGCCCCAAAAAUCUACCCAAGAAGGAGGCAUGGCAUGCACCCCAGGACUAAGCUGCCGGUGGAGGGGAAUCCGUUCACAUAGACCACCACGCCUCCAUCCCUCCUUCCUUUCUCCAGCCUCAGCAGCUGUGGAAGCCAGUGGAGCUUCCUGCGGGUAAAAAAUUCAAUCAAUCAACCACCCACCCAACACCCGUGGAGCAUGUCUUUUGUUCAAGUUCUGAGGGGGACACAAAAGAGCAGGCAGGCCACAGCUAUGCUCAUUAAUACGUCAGCUGCUUGGAACUUGGCAUGUAGAGCUGUGUUAUUCACAGCAGAAAGUUUCCUAGGCCAGCCUGCCAAAAAAAAAAAAAAAAAAAAAAAAA
rnacentral:lncRNA from 1 species